rnacentral:miRNA from 1 species
UUUUUAGUGUAAGUACUUCCCGUGCAAUAUUUGGGACAUACUAAAACUAAGA